GAUGAACGCUGGCGGCGUGCCUAAUACAUGCAAGUCGAGCGAACGGACGAGAAGCUUGCUUCUCUGAUGUUAGCGGCGGACGGGUGAGUAACACGUGGAUAACCUACCUAUAAGACUGGGAUAACUUCGGGAAACCGGAGCUAAUACCGGAUAAUAUUUUGAACCGCAUGGUUCAAAAGUGAAAGACGGUCUUGCUGUCACUUAUAGAUGGAUCCGCGCUGCAUUAGCUAGUUGGUAAGGUAACGGCUUACCAAGGCAACGAUGCAUAGCCGACCUGAGAGGGUGAUCGGCCACACUGGAACUGAGACACGGUCCAGACUCCUACGGGAGGCAGCAGUAGGGAAUCUUCCGCAAUGGGCGAAAGCCUGACGGAGCAACGCCGCGUGAGUGAUGAAGGUCUUCGGAUCGUAAAACUCUGUUAUUAGGGAAGAACAUAUGUGUAAGUAACUGUGCACAUCUUGACGGUACCUAAUCAGAAAGCCACGGCUAACUACGUGCCAGCAGCCGCGGUAAUACGUAGGUGGCAAGCGUUAUCCGGAAUUAUUGGGCGUAAAGCGCGCGUAGGCGGUUUUUUAAGUCUGAUGUGAAAGCCCACGGCUCAACCGUGGAGGGUCAUUGGAAACUGGAAAACUUGAGUGCAGAAGAGGAAAGUGGAAUUCCAUGUGUAGCGGUGAAAUGCGCAGAGAUAUGGAGGAACACCAGUGGCGAAGGCGACUUUCUGGUCUGUAACUGACGCUGAUGUGCGAAAGCGUGGGGAUCAAACAGGAUUAGAUACCCUGGUAGUCCACGCCGUAAACGAUGAGUGCUAAGUGUUAGGGGGUUUCCGCCCCUUAGUGCUGCAGCUAACGCAUUAAGCACUCCGCCUGGGGAGUACGACCACAAGGUUGAAACUCAAAGGAAUUGACGGGGACCCGCACAAGCGGUGGAGCAUGUGGUUUAAUUCGAAGCAACGCGAAGAACCUUACCAAAUCUUGACAUCCUUUGACAACUCUAGAGAUAGAGCUUUCCCCUUCGGGGGACAAAGUGACAGGUGGUGCAUGGUUGUCGUCAGCUCGUGUCGUGAGAUGUUGGGUUAAGUCCCGCAACGAGCGCAACCCUUAAGCUUAGUUGCCAUCAUUAAGUUGGGCACUCUAAGUUGACUGCCGGUGACAAACCGGAGGAAGGUGGGGAUGACGUCAAAUCAUCAUGCCCCUUAUGAUUUGGGCUACACACGUGCUACAAUGGACAAUACAAAGGGCAGCGAAACCGCGAGGUCAAGCAAAUCCCAUAAAGUUGUUCUCAGUUCGGAUUGUAGUCUGCAACUCGACUACAUGAAGCUGGAAUCGCUAGUAAUCGUAGAUCAGCAUGCUACGGUGAAUACGUUCCCGGGUCU
rnacentral:rRNA from 1 species